UACGUAGGGUCCGAGCGUUGUCCGGAGUGACUGGGCGUAAAGCGCGCGCAGGCGGCCCGCGAGGUGUCCUGUGAAAGCCCCGUGCUCAACGCGGGAGGGUCAGGGCAAACCGGCGGGCUUGAGGCCGGUAGAGGUGGGUGGAACUCCUGGUGGAGUGGUGAAAUGCGUAGAGAUGUGGAGGAACACCAGUGGCGAAGGCGACUCUUUGGCCUGUAACUGACGCUGAGGCGCGAAAGCGGGGGAGCAAACAGG
rnacentral:rRNA from 1 species